rnacentral:lncRNA from 8 species
CCGCAGAUGACCGGGUCUACUACCACACACACACACAAUCCAACAUCAGUUGGGUUAAGCCAGCUUGUUUGGUAAACAGUUGAAAUGUUGGCUCUGUAGUCUGUGUUGUUGUGUCACCUUGGGAUACAGUGGAAAGUCUAGUGUAAGCAGCAGGUGGUAGGGCUGUCUGUAGGGUUGACUGGGGAUGAUAACAGCGGGCUGAGGUGUGGACAAGUCCUCUCACACUACUAGGAAGAAACUUGAUUAUAUUAAAACGGUGGAAUAAAGAAGUUGGUGCACCUGUGUUACUGGUGGGAAUGGAAGGGUUGUGGACUAACUAUCAUUGACAGACUGACAGGAAUGAAGUGAUACUGUACACUAGGAAUAGAUUGAUUUGGUUGGUAUGAAUUUAGACACAAAAGUGUGUGAAAAUGAUUGUAGAGCCUCCUUUCUGUCCCAUGUCCAGCUGUGUGACCAGUCCAGUGUGAGGGGUUUCCUGCCCACCUUCACCUUCUUGGGGAAGCUGGUAGAUGCUGUUCCUUCCCUGCACAGAGCCUGGCCUCCAGCCAUGACGAGGGUCUGAAGGCCUCAGUCAGGGAGCUGCCCAAUCCCUCCCCCCCAGAGACAGGGUGUGGUGUGUGUGCUGCUGAUGCAGACCCUGGCCCACGCUUGCUCCUCUCAGCUCACCAUCAACUGCCUGGGCUUCCUGAAGCAGCUGCUGAAGCUGGGUCAGCUGGUGUCUCUGCUGAUGAACAGCCCCUGUGAGCAGAUCCGGUCUGAUCUGGAUCAGAGCCUGGACCAGGACCAAGAGGCCCAGUCCAGCACACAGCUCUCCCUGGAGCGCUGCCCACUGCCACUCAUACUCAAAAAGGUUUUCACCAAUCUACCACCAUUUUUUUGUUAAAAUGUGAGAGCUUCUACUGUCUCUACUGCUGCCAUCUUUGACUGAUUGCAUUGAGUGUCUAUAAAACGGCAGUGUUUGAAGACAUUGUCAUGACGACUAGUGUGUGUGUGUGUGUGUGUGUGUGUGUCUCUGGUACGCAGUCUGAAGGAGGCCCUGAGGCUGACUAACGUGGAGGUGCAGAGACAGGGCCUGCUGCUGCUCACAGAGAUACUGGAGAGGUGAGGCAUCAGGUCUGUCUACCUCAUACAUAACAGCAGAGAGGUGAGGCAUCAGGUCUGUCUACCUCGUACAUAACAGCAGAGAGGUGAGGCAUCAGGUCUGUCUACCUCAUACAUAACAGCUGGUCUAUUUGACAUUUUGUGAAUGUAUCGCAAGUUGUCCUUUACGUUCAGUGAAAGUGACAAGACUGAUCUCAGUGCUGACCAAGCACAGAGAAAGGUGUGAGAGAGAGGGGUAAUUUGACCUCAGCAUCUCGUAUUUUUAAAUGUAUUUUUAUUUACAGUUUUUUACAAUCGCUAGGACCCAUUUCUCAAUACUUAGGUCAGUUUUUCAGAACUCUUCACACAAUGAGUACAACAGCAGUCUAUGUGGGCUAAACUGUGGAUCAUUUAUCAUUGCUUCGGCACAAAAUGCAUUCAAUGACUACAUCUUUCAAUUUUCAUGAACUCUUUUCUCACUCAGACACAACCACCACCAAAACUCUAUGUACCUACAGGCCAAUUUGCACAUGUUUACAUACUCUUUUCAAAACAGUUAAACUUAAGUUCAAAACCUAAAAUAACACAAAAUUGAAUAAGACAUUAAUUUGCUACAUUCCUACAGUAAUACCCUAUUGAAAUAUAUUCCAAAUCUAAAAAAUGAAAUACUAUCAAAACAAUUAGACCAACCACAGCUGAUUCCCAUUGUAGCUGAACACCUACCCAUGUGUUAGUCUUUCAAUUACAUUACCAUCUAUACAAAAGGGGAGAUCUUAUGAAUAAUGCUGUACUGUAAUGUAAACAUGGACCCAGACAGAGAGAGAGAAGUGGCUGACAGAGGAAGAAGAGUGUCUGGGAGAGGGAGAGGAGUAGGUACGCGUGGUGGAAGAAGAGUGUCUGGGAGAGGGAGAGGAGUAGGUACGCGUGGUGGAAGAAGACUGGCUGGGAGAGGGAGAGGAGUAGGUACGCGUGGUUGAAGAAGACUGGCUGGGAGAGGGAGAGGAGUAGGUACGCGUGGUGGAAGAAGACUGGCUGGGAGAGGAGUAGGUACGCGUGGUGGAAGAAGACUGGCUGGGAGAGGAGUAGGUACGCGUGGUGGAAGAAGACUGGCUGGGAGAGGGAGAGGAGUAGGUACGCGUGGUGGAAGAAGACUGAGAGGAAGAUCAAGAGCUGUAGUCUCAGAUGAGAUAAUUGAUCAUCUAAUAAAUCAUGGUCUA